CAUUUCUAUUGAAACACCACCUGUUGAUUUUGCUUAAAAUUUAGCAAUUGAUAACAGCUUUCGGUUGAUUGACAACGGCUUUUAGUUACAAAAUUGUCUGAAUAUGAACGUUGGCAAAUUAACAAGUGGUGUUUCAAUAGAAAUGGCAAAGACUAUCACUUACAGGCCAAAAAUAUAGGUUAUGUGUAACGUUAAGAAUUUUAAGUGUAAUGGUCCAGCAAUACGCAUAUGAUGGGGGAACGAGAAAUCGGCGGCAGUUUUGCAACCUCUGACGCGCUAAAAAAGCAAGAAAUUAGAUGAUGCCCACAUACCUACAUAUUCUGCCACCUAUCAGAAAGUUAAAAGACUUGGCCAACCAGUGACAAAAUCAGGCUGUCCAAUGUUUCGGCGGAAAAAAUGUGAAGCCUAACAUCACUAUAAUUGUCCCUAUUUUUCAUACGCUUUGAUGUGCUCGUGAAUAAAAACGCCCAGUUUUCAUGAAAA